rnacentral:rRNA from 1 species
AGAGUUUGAUCCUGGCUCAGGAUGAACGCUGACAGAAUGCUUAACACAUGCAAGUCAACUUGAAUUUGGGUUUUUAACUUAGAUUUGGGUGGCGGACGGGUGAGUAACGCGUAAAGAACUUGCCUCACAGCUAGGGACAACAUUUGGAAACGAAUGCUAAUACCUGAUAUUAUGAUUUUAAGGCAUCUUAGAAUUAUGAAAGCUAUACGCGCUGUGAGAGAGCUUUGCGUCCCAUUAGCUAGUUGGAGAGGUAACGGCUCACCAAGGCGAUGAUGGGUAGCCGGCCUGAGAGGGUGAACGGCCACAAGGGGACUGAGACACGGCCCUUACUCCUACGGGAGGCAGCAGAAGGG